rnacentral:rRNA from 1 species
UACAGAGGGUGCAAGCGUUGUUCGGAAUUAUUGGGCGUAAAGAGCUCGUAGGCGGUCUGUCGCGUCGGCUGUGAAAACCCGGAGCUCAACUCCGGGCCUGCAGUCGAUACGGGCAAACUGGAGUACUGCAGGGGAGACUGGAAUUCCUGGUGUAGCGGUGAAAUGCGCAGAUAUCAGGAGGAACACCGGUGGCGAAGGCGGGUCACUGGCCCGAUACUGACG